UUUUUCCUCCAGCCAGCGGUGACGUUAUAGUUAAGCGUCAGGCUUUUCCCAUGAUUCUUUGCUCCAGCUUGUCCCUGACCUCUGUUAGUUGUACGCUGAAAGACGGAUAGAAAUGGUGCCUCCUGUGCAGGUUUCUCCUCUUAUUAAGACGGCCAGGUACUCGGCUCUGCUUGUGGGGAUCAUCUACGGUAAAAAGCGUUAUGAUUACCUGAAGCCUGUAGCGGCAGAGGAGAGGAGGAUCGAGGAGGAGGAGAAGAAAGUGAGGGAGGAACAGGAACGCAUAGCUAAACAGCUGGCUGAGGCAAACGAAGACACGAUCCUGAAGUGAGCGCUCUGGAGUGUGUGCUGUGUUUAUGGACCCGUUCUCUGGGUCUCGCCGUUCUUCUCUUCAUCACACACCUUCCUCUACAUCACUUCCUGCUGUUUUACAAUGAAUAAGUUUUGUGUAUUAGUAAAAUCACGUCACAAUCCAUGA